GACGAACGCUGGCGGCGUGCUUAACACAUGCAAGUCGAACGGAAAGGCCCUGCUUUUGUGGGGUGCUCGAGUGGCGAACGGGUGAGUAACACGUGAGUAACCUGCCCUUGACUUUGGGAUAACUUCAGGAAACUGGGGCUAAUACCGGAUAGGAGCUCCUGCUGCAUGGUGGGGGUUGGAAAGUUUCGGCGGUUGGGGAUGGACUCGCGGCUUAUCAGCUUGUUGGUGGGGUAGUGGCUUACCAAGGCUUUGACGGGUAGCCGGCCUGAGAGGGUGACCGGCCACAUUGGGACUGAGAUACGGCCCGGCCUCCUACGGGAGGCAGGAGUGGGGAAUAUUGCACAAUGGGCGGAAGCCUGAUGCAGCAACGCCGCGUGCGGGAUGACGGCCUUCGGGUGGUAAACCGCUUUCGCCUGUGACGAAGCGUGAGUGACGGUAAUGGGUAAAGAAGCACCGGCUAACUACGU
rnacentral:rRNA from 1 species